GCUUAGCCUUAAACUCAGAUGUUAAUAAUACAAGAAACAUCCGCCCGGGUACUACAAGCGCUAGCUUAAAACCCAAAGGACUUGACGGUGUCUCAGACCCACCUAGAGGAGCCUGUUCUAGAACCGAUAAUCCACGUUAAACCUCACCACCCCUUGUUUCCUCAGCCUAUAUACCGCCGUCGCAAGCUUACCCUGUGAAGGGUAAACAGUAAGCAAAAUGGGUAUACCCCAAAACGUCAGGUCGAGGUGUAGCCUACGAGGUGGGAAGAAAUGGGCUACAUUUUCUACAUCAGAAUACACGAACGGCGCCAUGAAACUGGCUCCUAAAGGUGGAUUUAGCAGUAAAAAUCAAAUAGAGAGUCAUUUUGAAUUAGGCUCUGAGACGCGC
rnacentral:rRNA from 1 species